ensembl:lncRNA
UGGGGUGAUAUCCAGUGGAUCAGUGUCUUUGUUAGAGGAAACACCAAAGAGUCUGUUUUCACUCUUUCUCUCUUCCACGGAGGAUGCACUGAGGAGGUGGCUGUCAACAAGUCAGGAAGAGAGCUCUUACCGGAAACCUAAAAGGUUGAUACCCUCAUCGUGAGCUUCCCAGCUUCCACUGUGUGAAAUACGUUUUUGUUGUUUAAGGAAUCCAGUCUGUGGCAUUCUGCUAUAGCAGCCCAAGCUGCCUAAAACAAUAUCCAAUGAUGUUUCAUAGAGUGAGGUUUUAGGUGAACCUUCAGUGUGUAGAUAGCAUCCAAAAGAACACUCCUGGUGCUUGAGUAUUCUCAAGGCCCAUGCAUUGUAACGACUCCUGCAAGUGGGCUGGGAUUCCAGGAAAGACUCUUGUUUAUACAGAAAAUAGGGCUACUACUCAGGAUCUGAGGUGGAAGAUUGGCAAUGGACUGGGCAUGUGGCCAGUAAAGACAGAGCCCGCUCUCCCCCACCUGGACUCAUGCCAGAUUUCAGAUGUUAUUUCUUCUUCUGCUCAUGUCUUCUUGCUGAAUCAGACAAAAGUGAGCCUAUGGAUGAAGGGCACUAGUGCCCAGAGCUGACUGGGGCCAAGGAAAGUGAAGAUAGGAUCCUGAUCAAGAAGCAUAAACGAGGAAAUUGAAAAUCCCACAUUGUUCUAUUUCCGAGUGAAAAGCUUUGAUUCACCACUAGAGGACACUAUUCACCCUCUCAUCUUUCUGAAGGCGUCAGCCCAGCAGGGCUCGUUUUCAAGUGAAAAUAACUGCAUUUACUAAGGCUUGUGAUUUGUUUAGAAAUAAAAAGCAGCACCCCCAUGAUUCUGAGCAGAUUUACCCCCGUAAAGCUCCUGUUGAUUGUGAUGCAAAGUCUUUAACUGCAUCAAAUGUAAACUGGAAAAAUUCAGCAAAUUAGGAUUGCCUGUGCAACUAUACAUAAAAUACACUUCAU